rnacentral:misc_RNA from 1 species
GAUGAAGAACGUAGCGAAAUGCGAUAAGUAAUGUGAAUUGCAGAAUUCAGUGAAUCAUCGAAUCUUUGAACGCACCUUGCGCUCCUUGGUAUUCCGAGGAGCAUGCCUGUUUGAGUGCCAUGAAAUUCUCAACCUUUUCAGCUUUCUUUGUUGAUCAGGCUUGGAUGUGGGAGUAUGCGGGCUUCUCAGAAGUCGGCUCUCCUGAAAUGCAUUAGCGGGACCUUUGUUGCCUGGCUUUGGUGUGAUAAUUAUCUACGCCAUUGUGGUCAAGCAGCUUAAAAUGAGGUUUCAGCUUCUAACCGUCUCCCCUGAGACAACUUUUUGACAAUUUGCCCUCAAAUCAGGUAGGACUACCCGCUGAACUUAAGCAUAUCAAUAAGCGGAGGA